CACAGGCUGUCGGAGCAGGCCUCGGACAACAGCUGCAAGGCUUGCUGGGCUGCAGAAACAAAGGGCGCCUAGCACGGUGCAAAGAAAGAGUUGACAGGUUGUUGUUAGCAGUGGCAAAUGUGUGAGGUAUGUCACUGUGUGCGAGACGGGGUGGGGUGGGUCGGUGGGGAAGGAGGAGAGCGCGGAGCAGAGGCAGCGCUCAGAACAGGGGGGGCACAGCAGAGGGAGCGAGGACGCGGGCUUGGUCAAAGCGCUCUCCUAAAAGCAGGCCGGUGUUUGUGAGGAGGACAAUCACAAGGUCUGUUUACUGCUGCCAAGAUGAAUUAGCCCAUCGUCUCAUUUAUAGGACGAAGCUGGCGGCACAGACUAUAAGGUGCACGGCAUUAAAGGGACUAAUUAGACAAUUCCGGCAAAUCUGAAUUAAGACCCUUUCUUUCUUUGAAAGCUGGAAAGCAUUUCUCAGGACUCCGCUCAGAUGACAGAGGUUUUGUUGAGCUUUUCCAUUCUCUUCUCUCUCACAAGAGUCCACUGUAAAUUCUGCUCAGAGCUCCGCGAACAGUUGUUAGGAAGCUGCUGGCAUUUACAUCGCAUUUGAAAAGGUCCAAAGCAAAAUCCCGGAUCCUGCAGGAAUCCAGCUCCCAGCCCAAGGACAAACCCUGCAGCUGGUCCCCCUCCUGUUGCAGAGGCGGAACCAGAAGCCGCCUGCAAACAUACCUGAGCUGCGGGCCCGCAGCUGAGCUCUCGCUCACACAUAAAACAACACAGAUUUUUCCAAAGCUGGCUUUGGAAAACACCCACCUCCCCCCUCCAACACGGCGUCUGCAGCCAAAUGCUUUUCCCAAGCAACUGCGCUCGCUAGAGCCAUGGUUCACUAAGCUCGUGAGUGCUGGGUAGGAAUGUAUCAAUGAAACUGCAGAUGAUCAAAGGCAGAAGCUGCAGAAGAGAACUCACUUUCAGCUCCGUGUUUGGCAAGUUUAGGAUUCGGUUCUCAAGAUCUGGCAACGUUUUGCUGCGAUUGUGACAAAAACAAAAUGCUACAAACACCUCUGAAGCAACGGCGCACGCUGUUUGCACACAACCACUAUAUUACAGUGGUCACUAUUAAAAUGUUUUACAAGACGGUAACGUUACCAUGGCAUUCACUGGAUACUAAGAGAAGGGACUACCACGAAAGUCACAGAAAUGCUAAGCACUGCGAGCUGCAAAUUUCAGACGUUUCAUAGUAAUGAGCAGUGCUCUAUAAAACACAGACUUCUGCCUUACUACCCAGGUAUCUAUCGCCAACCAACAAAUAAGAGACACUGAGAGAUUGCAGUGCCCCGUAUAGCAUCCAACCAAUUAUACAAACAAACCCUAUUUUGAUUUUUCUCUUCUAAAUGGUCUCCGGGUCCCAGUUACCCCCGUCCCAAUGGGCAGCACUUGAUACGCUGUAAAAGGAAUUCAGAACAAGAGGCAUUUCAAGGCUUCCAACACACAGCUCCAUUCUCUCCCCAAAUAUCAAAAAUACCAGUGUGCAGAAGACUCCAUCUAGGGGCAGAAAUGUGACCCAAAAUUUCCUGAGCCUCCACUUUGACAUGUGUUAACCUCAUUCUACCGGGACUGAGCGCAUGAGAAAUAAUCAGACGUUUCGCAGAGCUUCCAAAUAGUUCUUCCUCAGUAUGGGCCCAUCGAUUUCUACUUUCUAUUAUUUUAAAUGCAAGGCUUCCAGCCUGAGUUUCCGCUGAGCAGUGAUGAAGAACACAGGCGCUGCUUUUAUACGUCUACGAGCAACCGGGUUAUACUUUAAACUACAAAUAUUAUCUUAGGAACAAUUUAUAACCCAUUGUAUCCACACGCUUAAAUUUUUUAGCUGAAUAAGGGUGGCCGGAGAGCUCAACUGCAAAGAAUAACGAAACGCCUGAAGGACUAUUUAGGUAGCUACAUUUUUGGAUGUCAUUGGGCUUCUGCUGAAGUCAAAGCGAGGCCUGAACUUGAUUUCAGGGGGGAGCAGAAACAGCUCUGUAGCACAGACGUACCUUUAAUGAGAAAUUCCGUGGCUGGAUAAUUCAAUGUAAUUAGUUUUUGACAUUAGCACAUAGGCUUUGCCCAGCAAAGGCAUUUAGGAAUAAGGUAUGCAAUAGAAAAGCAACAGAUUUGCAGGCUGGGAAGAAAACAAAAAGUACUGUAAUGUCCAUUAGCAGCUUUUUUUCCCCCUCUUCAGCAAAAAAAAAAAAACUUACAGCAAGUACAUCAAACCCUUCCCUCUAAUGAUAUGUUUUCUUUACAGGAAUUACUUUCAGCUGACGAGCCUGUGCUAAUUUUCCUUAGUAAGCAAUGGGUUACAGCUUGUCCAUAACAUCACAGCUUCCCCUGUGCUGUGCCUUGCUCUUUGUCUCUCUGCAGAGCGGCUGCUUGUGAGGCUGGGGGAACGCUUCUGAAAGCAAUCACGUCGCUUCCUACGCUCGCUCUCCUAAACACCUACGUCUGGUCACCUUUAUUCUUCCUGUGCAGGCCCUCGGCUGCGAGCUUCAGACUGCGUGAACGCAAAGGAACUACGAGGACAGCUUCAGGUUCCACUCUCCCCAGUAUGUUACAAUGACGACCCCACGCUGGGAACAGCCACACGGCCCAGAGGUGCCAAGCUGGCACGGAUAUCUCACUCAGCAUUCAGCAUCUAAGCCCUUGGCAAGCCCCAUGGCAGUUGUGCUUGGCUGCUCUUGGAUCUGUCAUGUGGUCAGGCUGCUGAUAGCAGUAGGGUGCUGCGUCCUCUGGGCACCAUUUCACUUUAACACCUGUCUGAUUCAGAGGAAUGCGCGCACAUGGAGAGCAAGAUCCCCACACAAAUCCUCCCAGAGACCCAGAGCACAUGCUCCAUUUGUUACUGGAAGGGGUCGUUUCCUCAGACCCACAAGUGUUUUUUCUUCCUCUCUUCCCCUUCAUAUAUCUGUAUACAACCCUUAGAGGGUCCGACAUCCUGCCGUGCAUUCCACAUGUGUUGGACGUUUGCUUUGUGAACCAGGAAUACAACACACAGCCUUUUUGUACAUAAUGAAAUCUCAUAUUUUACUGG
ensembl:lncRNA